GACGAACCGUGCUAACGUUAUUCGGAAUCACUGGGCUUAAAGGGCGCGUAGGCGGGCAGCCAAGUCAGGGGUGAAAGCGUUCGGCUCAACCGGACAAGUGCCUUUGAUACUGGCGGCCUCGAGGGAGGUAGGGGCGCGUGGAACUUCCGGUGGAGCGGUGAAAUGCGUUGAUAUCCAGCGGAACUCCGGUGGCGAAGGCGAGGUGCUGGACCAUUUCUGACGCUGAGGCGCGAAAGCCAGGGGAGCAAACGGG
rnacentral:rRNA from 1 species